GCAAUGGACGAAAGUCUGACGGAGCAACGCCGCGUGAGUGAUGAAGGCUUUCGGGUCGUAAAACUCUGUUGUUAGGGAAGAACAAGUGCUAGUUGAAUAAGCUGGCACCUUGACGGUACCUAACCAGAAAGCCACGGCUAACUACGUGCCAGCAGCCGCGGUAAUACGUAGGUGGCAAGCGUUAUCCGGAAUUAUUGGGCGUAAAGCGCGCGCAGGUGGUUUCUUAAGUCUGAUGUGAAAGCCCACGGCUCAACCGUGGAGGGUCAUUGGAAACUGGGAGACUUGAGUGCAGAAGAGGAAAGUGGAAUUCCAUGUGUAGCGGUGAAAUGCGUAGAGAUAUGGAGGAACACCAGUGGCGAAGGCGACUUUCUGGUCUGUAACUGACACUGAGGCGCGAAAGCGUGGGGAGCAAACAGGAUUAGAUACCCUGGUAGUCCACGCCGUAAACGAUGAGUGCUAAGUGUUAGAGGGUUUCCGCCCUUUAGUGCUGAAGUUAACGCAUUAAGCACUCCGCCUGGGGAGUACGGCCGCAAGGCUGAA
rnacentral:rRNA from 1 species